rnacentral:rRNA from 1 species
UUUGAUCCUGGCUCAGGACGAACGCUGGCGGCGUGCCUAAUACAUGCAAGUCGAGCGAAUCUGAGGGAGCUUGCUCCCAAAGAUUAGCGGCGGACGGGUGAGUAACACGUGGGCAACCUGCCUGUAAGACUGGGAUAACUUCGGGAAACCGGAGCUAAUACCGGAUAAUCCUUUUCUACUCAUGUAGAAAAGCUGAAAGAUGGCUUCGGCUAUCACUUACAGAUGGGCCCGCGGCGCAUUAGCUAGUUGGUGAGGUAACGGCUCACCAAGGCGACGAUGCGUAGCCGACCUGAGAGGGUGAUCGGCCACACUGGGACUGAGACACGGCCCAGACUCCUACGGGAGGCAGCAGUAGGGAAUCUUCCGCAAUGGACGAAAGUCUGACGGAGCAACGCCGCGUGAGUGAUGAAGGUUUUCGGAUCGUAAAACUCUGUUGUUAGGGAAGAACAAGUACCGUUCGAAUAGGGCGGUACCUUGACGGUACCUAACCAGAAAGCCACGGCUAACUACGUGCCAGCAGCCGCGGUAAUACGUAGGUGGCAAGCGUUGUCCGGAAUUAUUGGGCGUAAAGCGCGCGCAGGUGGUUUCUUAAGUCUGAUGUGAAAGCCCCCGGCUCAACCGGGGAGGGUCAUUGGAAACUGGGAGACUUGAGUGCAGAAGAGGAAAGUGGAAUUCCAAGUGUAGCGGUGAAAUGCGUAGAGAUUUGGAGGAACACCAGUGGCGAAGGCGACUUUCUGGUCUGUAACUGACACUGAGGCGCGAAAGCGUGGGGAGCGAACAGGAUUAGAUACCCUGGUAGUCCACGCCGUAAACGAUGAGUGCUAAGUGUUAGAGGGUUUCCGCCCUUUAGUGCUGCAGCAAACGCAUUAAGCACUCCGCCUGGGGAGUACGGCCGCAAGGCUGAAACUCAAAGGAAUUGACGGGGGCCCGCACAAGCGGUGGAGCAUGUGGUUUAAUUCGAAGCAACGCGAAGAACCUUACCAGGUCUUGACAUCCUCUGACAAUCCUAGAGAUAGGACGUUCCCCUUCGGGGGACAGAGUGACAGGUGGUGCAUGGUUGUCGUCAGCUCGUGUCGUGAGAUGUUGGGUUAAGUCCCGCAACGAGCGCAACCCUUGAUCUUAGUUGCCAGCAUUCAGUUGGGCACUCUAAGGUGACUGCCGGUGACAAACCGGAGGAAGGUGGGGAUGACGUCAAAUCAUCAUGCCCCUUAUGACCUGGGCUACACACGUGCUACAAUGGAUGGUACAAAGGGCUGCAAGACCGCGAGGUUUAGCCAAUCCCAUAAAACCAUUCUCAGUUCGGAUUGCAGGCUGCAACUCGCCUGCAUGAAGCCGGAAUCGCUAGUAAUCGCGGAUCAGCAUGCCGCGGUGAAUACGUUCCCGGGCCUUGUACACACCGCCCGUCACACCACGAGAGUUUGUAACACCCGAAGUCGGUGGGGUAACCGCAAGGAGCCAGCCGCCUAAGGUGGGACAGAUGAUUGGGGUGAAGUCGUAACAAGGUAGCCGUANCGGAAGGGCG